UACGUAGGGGGCGAGCGUUGUCCGGAUUUACUGGGCGUAAAGAGCGCGUAGGUGGUUGGGUAGGUUGGUGGUGAAAGGUGCGGGCUUAACCCGCAUAGGUCCACCAAGACCGCUCGACUGUGAGGGCAGUAGAGGAAGGUGGAAUUCCGGGUGUAGUGGUGAAAUGCGUAGAGAUCCGGAGGAACACCCGUGGCUAAGGCGGCUCUCUAGUACGGUACUGACGCUGAGACGCGAAAGCGUGGGGAGCGAACAGG
rnacentral:rRNA from 1 species